AAACUCAAAUGAAUUGACGGGGCCGCACAAGCGGUGGAGCAUGUGGUUUAAUUCGAUGCUACACGAAGAACCUUACCAGGGUUUGACAUGCAAGUGGUAGGAACCGAAAGGCGACCGACCCUUCGGGGAGCUUGCACAGGUGCUGCAUGGCUGUCGUCAGCUCGUGUCGUGAGAUGUUCGGUUAAGUCCGCUAACGAGCGCAACCCUCGCUGUGUGUUACAAGUGUCACACGGUACUGCCGGUCUUAAGCCGGAGGAAGGUGGGAUGACGUCAAGUCAGCAUGGCCUUUAUGUCCUGGGCUACACACACGCUACAAUGGCCAACACAAUAGGUUGCUAAGCCGCGAGGUGGAGCCAAUCCUCAAAGUUGGUCUCAGUUCAGAUUGCAGGCUGCAACCCGCCUGCAUGAAGAUGGAGUUGCUAGUAACCGCAGGUCGGCCAUACUGCGUUGAAUACGUUCCCGGGGCUU
rnacentral:rRNA from 1 species